UCGGGUAAUCGAGCCUUUAAAGGUUAGGAAAGUCCAUGCUAGCACAUCCUGAGAUGGAUGUAGUGUUUGUACCUAAGGAGAAAGUAACUUAGGGCUUAAUUGACGGCGAUUUAUUUACCUAAGUCUUUAGAUAUGGUAAAUAAGCAUAAAGUGCCACAGAGACGAAUCUUUUAGAAAUAAAAGGGUGAAACGCGGUAAACCCUGCAAGCUAGAAACCCAAAUUAUGGUAGGGGAGUCUUCCUGAAGGAAUUUAACGGAAGGAAGGACAGAAAAUAUCUGUAGAUAAAUGAUUACCGAACGCUUUAUAGCGGGAACAAAACAUGGCUUAUAG
rnacentral:RNase_P_RNA from 1 species